rnacentral:piRNA from 1 species
UCUUGCAACAAGAGGUAGCCAUUUCUGUCU